rnacentral:misc_RNA from 1 species
AAGGAGCACUUCUUACCAGGUUCGCUUGGUCAGAGGCCAGUACACCGGCGAAUGUUCGGUGCUGGUUGCUCAUGGGUGGAACGUUGACUAUUCGGCACGACAGGUUGGCCACUACUAGUACUGCUUCGGCGUGGAAUGUAUGGGUGAUCGGUCGGGUCGGGCACGCUGUUGGGUAUCUGAAGGUAUGGCCGUAAGGCUGCCUUCGGUUGCCGGCCCCAGUGCACUCACCUGUAAGGGUGGGGUGAUGGGGGCUGGUCGUUG